rnacentral:rRNA from 1 species
UACGAAGGGUGCAAGCGUUGCUCGGAAUUAUUGGGCGUAAAGGGUAGGUAGGUGGUGAUAUUUGUCUGGGGUGAAAUCCCUGAGCUUAACUCAGGAAGUGCCUUGGAAACGGUAUCACUAGAGUAUUGGAGAGGUUCGUGGAAUUCCCGGUGUAGCGGUGAAAUGCGUAGAGAUCGGGAGGAACAUCAGAGGCGAAGGCGACGAACUGGACAAUAACUGACACUAAACUACGAAAGCGUGGGGAGCAAACAGGAUUAGAAACCC